UAGGGAAUCUUCGGCAAUGGGGGCAACCCUGACCGAGCAACGCCGCGUGAGUGAAGAAGGUUUUCGGGUCGUAAAGCUCUGUUGUAAGAGAAGAACGUGUGUGAGAGUGGAAAGUUCACACAGUGACGGUAACUUACCAGAAAGGGACGGCUAACUACGUGCCAGCAGCCGCGGUAAUACGUAGGUCCCGAGCGUUGUCCGGAUUUAUUGGGCGUAAAGCGAGCGCAGGCGGUUUAAUAAGUCUGAAGUUAAAGGCAGUGGCUUAACCAUUGUUCGCUUUGGAAACUGUUAAACUUGAGUGCAGAAGGGGAGAGUGGAAUUCCAUGUGUAGCGGUGAAAUGCGUAGAUAUAUGGAGGAACACCGGUGGCGAAAGCGGCUCUCUGGUCUGUAACUGACGCUGAGGCUCGAAAGCGUGGGGAGCAAACAGG
rnacentral:rRNA from 1 species